CCCAUUUGAAGAAUCCUCAUGGAAUCACAUCUCAAUUUAAGCAGUGUGCAAAUAUGAAGGUAUUCACGAGUGACGUCCACCCAAUAGCGAUACGUGUGAGUUGGCAAGCACCGAAAGUGGAUGCAUUUUUGAUGCUUUGGGUGAUAGGUGAUCAAUGAG